GUCAAUCUCUCCGUCCCCCUGAAUCACCGACCCAAGAAAACUCAUCAUAAAUUUGACAAUUGUAAAAGCUUUAUUUUUUGAAGGAUGGCAUUAAUGGUGGUAUUUUUACCUCAAAUUUUAAGCCAUUAGUCGCCAACUGAAACAGGUCAUACAAUAUACUCUUGUACUUUCAUGCCAUGAAGGGCUAUUUGGUUAGACUCUUUGAUGUUUUUGAUCUCCUAUUUACAACAAUAAUAGUAAUUAUUAUCCGUUAACAUGCAUAUUUUCAGUUUAUCUGGUUUAUCAUUGGAACAGAGUACGAUUAUUGGUUUAUCACCUUCUUUAAUCAACAACAGCUAAUUUGUUUUAUAUUUACUUACAAAAAAAAAAAGUUUAGCAAAUCAUACAUGUGAAGAAGGUCACUGGCACAAAUUGAAUACUGCCAGUUCUGCAUCAGUUAUUUUCUCCAUUAACAAAAUCAUUAUUUUCCUCGUUCUCUAUUUUUCUCAUGUCCUUGUAAUUUGAAUUGGGUUUUACGUAGCAUAUUGAUGUCAAAUGCUGUAUCUGAUGCUCAAAUUCAAGUAUCAAUAUUUUCUUCUUGUCCAUACUCUGAUUGACCAAGAACUGAGUGUGUUCCCUAGUUACAAGUCUUAGAAACUCCUUCGGUUUAGUUACAAGUCUUCUUUUUUCAACAAAUGAGCACUACUUGGAAUGUGUAUAUCGUCAUCCUUGAAAGUCAGUUCUGAACUUCUGUUGAGAUUUGUGAUUUCAUUUUUUUGACAUUACAUGACGAUAAUGCUCCUCCAUUCUUUCUGGCAGGAAUUUCUUGAAGUCUUAUUAUUUCCCACAAGGAGAGACUGCUUAAAGAUUUUUGUGGAAAAGUUUUGUUUGCUGAGUUUGUAAUUGCUGUAGAAGUAUUCCCGUGUAUCCUUGCAUAGUUUUCAGAUGUAUCCUAUAUUUAUGCCUCAGAAGGAAAUUAUGUGCCAUAGAUAAAGUUGAACAGGGGGUGGAUGUGCAAUCCCGGGGCUGGCAACAUACUUGAAUAAAACCAAAUAAUUGAUGUGGAAAUCUUUGGGCAAAGUUAGCUUUAUGUUCUGGUGAAGGACUCAUAAUUGAUCUCUUUUCAGACAGUUCUGGUAGGCUCUUCCACCAGUGAGCCAAAUGUCACAGACCGGAUAACUCCCUAGCUAUCUUCCGUGCGGCCUUAGUCACAAUUCGCCCCUGCGAUGUGCUAAGUCAGCCUUUCCCCGAAAUAUUGCCACAAAGAGAAAGCUUUGUACAAGUGUUGGAUUUCUCUAUGUCUUAUAUGUUCUUAAAUUCCAAAUGCCAUCCCAUAUUUAUAGGGGAGGCUUACAAGCUCUAGAGGUUCUAGAGAGUUCUACAGCCUUCUAGCUAUGUACAUGUCCUAGAAUUCUAUGGAGAGUUCUAGAGAGUUCUACUACAUUCUAGGUAGAUACAAGAGUGUUCUAGAGUUCUAGAGAGCUCUAGAGAUCUCUACACCUAGUAGAAUAUACAAGAUAACUCUAGAGAGGUCUAGAGUCUUCCAUUAGAAGAAUCUAGACUUGGCUAGAGAAAUGCUGCCAUUCGCGCGCCAAAUCAUUGCCAAUGUGUCGCCCAGUCAUCGCCCGCAUGGCAUAAUCUCCUAGAAAAUGUAGGGGCGUGACACAAAGCUCUGUAAACUCUUAAUUUUGUCAGAACACUUCCCCUUCGUGGUGUAGGGUCUUAAUAUGCUGAAAAAUAUUUAUUCGCACCUUAGUGUUGUACAAACUAUAUGGUUAAUCAUUGUUAAGUGAAAUAAUAAGGUAAAACUGCACUACAAUUAGUUAUGGCUAAGCGAUAGAAGUGUGUAAAAAAUACAUGUCAUGUGUUUAUUCCAAACAGUGUUUAGCGAAACUAGAUAGUUAAUUUUCUCAAGCUUUGAAAAUUUAUCCCACUUAGGAAGUCCCAGUCUCAGUUAUUUAACGUUUUAAUAUUUUCGUAAUUUGAAUUUACAUUGUAAUUUUUUUUUUCGACUUUGAAGUACUUGCUUCCAUUGUCUUUUUACUUUGUUGUUGCUGCUGUUUCUCUAUGGCUUCAUUUUUAUUGUUCUUGCCUCGAGAGUUUUUCGAAAACAACAUCUCUACAUUCAUAAGGUAGGAGUAUUUGCGUCCAUAUUUCCCUUCUUAAACCUCACUUGUGGAAUUUCACUGGGUGGUUGUUGUUUUAUAGGGUGGUUGUUGUUGUUUGAAGUACUGGAAAUUUGCCAUCGUCCUUUACUGGAACUCAUACAUUCCUUAUAAGUUUAUACAUAGUCUAUUCGUUUUGUGAAAAUUUACCUGCUUGGUUCGGACAUUACUGCACGU
rnacentral:lncRNA from 1 species